UAAAUCUACAAUCAGAAAGGGAAAGAAAGGGAACGGGGAGCUUGAGGGGGAAACAGAAGGGAAGAAAGAAGGAAACGAAGAACAGAGGGAGAGGGUGAGGGAACAGAAGAAGAAGAGAGGCAGGAGGAUCGCUGCGCCGUGCUGCUCCAUGCGCCGGUUACCGUCGCUAUCGCCAGAGCCAGAGGACAGAAAGAGAACGCUUGCAAGGGAGAGGACAAACGCGAGGAGAAGGAGAGCUCGUGCGCGAAGGACAGUGCCGCCACUCCGUCGCCGCGCAGCUGUUGCUGCCACCCCGUCACCAUCGUUGUCGCGGCUGGAAGCAUAAAGUUCGAACAGAGGGGGAGAAACCGCGAGGUGAAGGGUGACGCUGGGCCUCUGUCGCUGCUGCUAUCACCAAGCGUUGUUGUCGUUGCCGCUGAAGGCCAAGGCCCUAUCGUUGUCAUCGAUUCUGCCUGGAGCCACCACCCACUUGUCACACAGCCAGUUAGUUACUCUGCCGCUGCUGAAUUUGCUGUGUUGAGACUGAAACUGCCACUUUGACUCUGGGCUGUAAUUGUUCUUUAUUCCCAUCCAAUUUGAAUUCCUUGUUUCGCUGUAACUAUCAUUACUGUUGUGGAAUUGUCGCCGUUGCGAGCAUGAUUAGAGACAGUGCCAGAUUUGGAUUUGCGUGGGAAUUGCCACUGCUGUGAGUAAGAAGGAAAAGCCGCUCACAGCGUUUAAUCUUACGAGUUUCGACAUUGAGUGACACAGGUUUGAAGAUGUGAUUUGAAGCUGCGAGCGAUUAGUAGGCUUCCUUUAUGGUUUUAAUUGCUUUCAUAGAGUCCCCUCGCUCUUGUCCUUUGAAGUUUUAUUUUAUCAGAGGGAUAGGUAUUGUAUUUGGGUUUAUAUGACUUCCUAUGUAUAAGAAUUACUAAUAAUAAUACCUCUGUGAUUGUUA